rnacentral:rRNA from 1 species
UACGUAGGCAGCGAGCGUUGUUCGGAGUUACUGGGCGUAAAGGGUGUGUAGGCGGUCCUCUAAGUUUGGUGUGAAAUCUCCCGGCUCAACCGGGAGGGUGCGCCGAAAACUGGGGGACUAGAGUGCGGGAUGGGAAAGUGGAAUUCCUGGUGUAGCGGUGAAAUGCGUAGAUAUCAGGAGGAACACCGGUGGUGUAGACGGCUUUCUGGACCGUAACUGACGCUGAGACACGAAAGCGUGGGGAUCAAACAGG